GGGGUUGUGGCUCAGUGGUAGAGCGCUUGCCUAGCAUGGGUGAAGGGUUCAAUCCCCAGCACCA
rnacentral:tRNA from 1 species